GAUGAACGCUGGCGGCGUGCUUAACACAUGCAAGUCGAACGAAGCACUUUAGUUGAUUUCCUUCGGGACUGAUUAUUUUGUGACUGAGUGGCGGACGGAUGAGUAACGCGAGGGUAACCUGCCUUGUACAGGGGGAUAACAGUUGGAGACGGCUGCUAAUACUGCAUAAGCGCACAGCAUCGCAUGAUGCAGUGUGAAAAACUCCGGUGGUAUAAGAUGGACCCGCGUUGGAUUAGCUAGUGGGUGAGGUAACGGCCAACCCAGGCGAGGAUCGAUAGCCGGCGUGAGAGAGUGACCGGCCACAUUGGGAGUGAGACACGGGACAAACUCCUGCGGGAGGAGGCAGUAGGGAAGAUUGAAGAAUGGGAGAAAGACUGAUGAACCGACGCCGCGUGAGCGAAGACGUCUUGUGGUAUGCCACGUUCUAUUAGCAGGGAAGAUGAUGACGGUAACUGACUAAGGAACACCGGGUAAAUACGUG
rnacentral:rRNA from 1 species